CUAGCUUGUAUCUAUACUUUUAUCUUUUAUAUUCUUUACUUAUUUUCUUUAUUCUUACCUUAUGGAAAACCAAGAUUCUAAAUCAAUCUACGAAUCUACAAUCCCUUCAGUAACCGACCUUUUACCAUGGGAGUCAUCACAGCCUAUCCAAACAUCCCAGUAUAAGUUAAGUUCUAGGUUGAUUGCCAUGAUUCAAAACCUAU
rnacentral:lncRNA from 1 species